rnacentral:rRNA from 1 species
GAGUUUGAUCAUGGCUCAGGAUGAACGCUGGCUACAGGCUUAACACAUGCAAGUCGAGGGGAAACGACGGGGAAGCUUGCUUCCUUGGGCGUCGACCGGCGCACGGGUGAGUAACGCGUAUCCAACCUGCCUCUGACUGAGGGAUAACCCGUCGAAAGUCGGCCUAAUACCUCAUGGCAUCGUCUGCGGGCAUCCAACGACGAUUAAAGAUUUCAUCGGUCAGGGAUGGGGAUACGUCUGAUUAGCUUGUUGGCGGGGUAACGGCCCACCAAGGCUACGAUCAGUAGGGGUUCUGAGAGGAAGGUCCCCCACAUUGGAACUGAGACACGGUCCAAACUCCUACGGGAGGCAGCAGUGAGGAAUAUUGGUCAAUGGGCGGGAGCCUGAACCAGCCAAGUAGCGUGCAGGAAGACGGCCCUAUGGGUUGUAAACUGCUUUUAUGCGGGGAUAAAGUGAGGGACGUGUCCUUCAUUGCAGGUACCGCAUGAAUAAGGACCGGCUAAUUCCGUGCCAGCAGCCGCGGUAAUACGGAAGGUCCGGGCGUUAUCCGGAUUUAUUGGGUUUAAAGGGAGCGUAGGCCGUGGAUUAAGCGUGUUGUGAAAUGCAGGUGCUCAACGUCUGCACUGCAGCGCGAACUGGUCCACUUGAGUGUGCACAACGCAGGCGGAAUUCGUCGUGUAACGGUGAAAUGCUUAGAUACGACGAAAAACUCCGAUUGCGAAGGCAGCUUGCGGGGAGCACAACUGACGCUGAAGCUCGAAAGUGCGGGUAUCGAACACGAUUAGAUACCGUGGUAGUCCGCACGGUAAACAAUGGAUGCCCGUUGUCAGGCUGUUUCAGCCUGGUGACCAAGCGAAAGCAUUAAGCAUCCCACCUGGGGGAGUACGCCGGCAACGGUGAAACUCAAAGGAAUUGACGGGGGCCCGCACAAGCGGAGGAACAUGUGGUUCAAUUCGAUGAUACGCGAGGAACCUUACCCGGGCUUGAAUUGCAGAUGAAGGCUUCAGAGAUGAAGCGGCCCUUCGGGGCGUCUGUGAAGGUGCUGCAUGGUUGUCGUCAGCUCGUGCCGUGAGGUGUCGGCUUAAGUGCCAUAACGAGCGCAACCCCUUUCUUCAGUUGCCAUCAGGUGAUGCUGGGCACUCUGGAGACACCGCCACCGCAAGGUGUGAGGAAGGUGGGGAUGACGUCAAAUCAGCACGGCCCUUACGUCCGGGGCUACACACGUGUUACAAUGGCCGGUACAGAGAGUUGAUUUUGUGCAAACACGAUCUAAUCCUUAAAUCCGGUCCCAGUUCGGACUGGGGUCUGCAACCCGACCCCACGAAGCUGGAUUCGCUAGUAAUCGCGCAUCAGCCAUGGCGCGGUGAAUACGUUCCCGGGCCUUGCACACACCGCCCGUC